UACAGAGGUCUCAAGCGUUGUUCGGAUUCAUUGGGCGUAAAGGGUGCGUAGGUGGCGAGGUUAGUCAGGUGUGAAAUCUCGGGGCUCAACCCCGAAACUGCACUUGAUACUGCCUUGCUAGAGUACUGGAGAGGAGAUUGGAAUUUACGGUGUAGCAGUGAAAUGCGUAGAUAUCGUAAAGGAAGACCAGUGGCGAAGGCGAAUCUCUGGUACGUGACUGACGCUGAGACGCGAAAGCGUGGGGAGCAAACAGG
rnacentral:rRNA from 1 species